rnacentral:rRNA from 1 species
AGGUUUUCGGACCUAGAGACCGGCGCACGGGUGCGUAACGCGUAUGCAAUCUACCUUUUACAGAGGGAUAGCCCAGAGAAAUUUGGAUUAAUACCUCAUAGUAUUAUUGAAUGGCAUCAUUUAAUAAUUAAAGUUCCAACGGUAAAAGAUGAGCAUGCGUCCCAUUAGCUAGAUGGUAAGGUAACGGCUUACCAUGGCAACGAUGGGUAGGGGUCCUGAGAGGGAGAUCCCCCACACUGGUACUGAGACACGGACCAGACUCCUACGGGAGGCAGCAGUGAGGAAUAUUGGUCAAUGGGCGCAAGCCUGAACCAGCCAUGCCGCGUGCAGGAUGAAGCAUCUAUGGUGUGUAAACUGCUUUUGUACGAGAAGAAACACUCCUUCGUGAAGGAGCUUGACGGUAUCGUAAGAAUAAGGACCGGCUAACUCCGUGCCAGCAGCCGCGGUAAUACGGAGGGUCCAAGCGUUAUCCGGAAUCAUUGGGUUUAAAGGGUCCGUAGGCGGUUUUGUAAGUCAGUGGUGAAAGCCCAUCGCUCAACGGUGGAACGGCCAUUGAUACUGCAAGACUUGAAUUACUAGGAAGUAACUAGAAUAUGUAGUGUAGCGGUGAAAUGCUUAGAUAUUACAUGGAAUACCAAUUGCGAAGGCAGGUUACUACUAGUGGAUUGACGCUGAUGGACCAAAGCGUGGGGAGCGAACAGGAUUAGAUACCCUGGUAGUC